UACGAAGGGUGCGAGCGUUGUUCGGAAUUACUGGGCGUAAAGGGCGCGUAGGCGGCGCACCAAGUCAGGCGUGAAAGCCCUGGGCUUAACCCAGGAAUUGCGUUUGAGACUGGCGUGCUGGAGUGCAGGAGAGGUCGGCGGAAUUCCCAGUGUAGAGGUGAAAUUCGUAGAGAUUGGGAAGAACACCGGUGGCGUAGGCGGCCGACUGGACUGUAACUGACGCUGAGGCGCGAAAGCGUGGGGAGCAAACAGG
rnacentral:rRNA from 1 species